GCACAAAUAGGUCAAUGGUUGGGGAAGGUGACGUGCAAAUUUGCCUUCAGGUGGAGCAUGUAGCGGCAUACUAGCGUCAGCCCACAGCUGGUGAGAGAUGGGACGCCAGCAAUGUCAUUGUGUUAAGGGGAAGCUGGUCCGGUUGUCCUUCUGGCGCCCUGGUGGUGAGCCUGGUGAGUGCGUCGUCAGAAUCUGGCAGGAAUGGCAGUGCAAUCUGUGCUCAGUGAUGGAAAUUUCUCCAGUGCAGUUUCUAAGAGUCGCGGUGAAUUCAUCCAUUUGGAAAUGAAAAUAGAAGUAUAGUUGAAUGCCCACCACAGUCCUGGCCCACCUCUCUGGCAGCCUAAUUUCUCAUCCUCCUUACAGGCGUUAUCAUUAGCCUGAAGCAGCUGCAUUUGAAUGACUUUUGCUGCUGCUGAAGAUACAAAAUUCUGUGCUGUACAUUACUCGUGAAGUGUGAAGUGUGAGGUGUGAAGUGUGAGGCUCGAGCGAGCAAUGGCAGCCCCAUUGGAGUAAACCUUCAGUGUCCCAAGGGAGCGGCUCCGAGGGCGAGGGCUCCCUCAGCGUGGAAGCUCUGGCACGUGUCUGAAGAUGAGUCACCGCAGCUCGUCCCCACACUGCUCCGUGGAAUAGCCAGCAUGCUGCAGGUGUUCAGUGUUCUCCACAGCGGGCUGAAGAGGCCGGAGUUGUCAGGCAAGAGACUGACUUGUCUGCUUGUACUUGAAAUGGAUUCGAAGAAACACAUGCAUUUGUCGAGGGGAAAACGCUUUCAAGGAGAGACCAUUUGAUGCUAAAAGGACCAUUUGAUGCUCUUUUAACCCUCUUGGUUUUAUUCAACUCCUUUCAUUACUUUCUGUUCCUGGCACCUUACCGAAGGAAGAAUAUGCCAAGAGUUUGAAUGAUGAAAGAGUAUUCUAUAUUUUUAGCUAUAUUUGCAUUUUACAAGUUUAUUUGAAAGAUAGUUUUGUGCAGUUAAUCUUUUUUUCUGUUUAAAUUAUUUUGAAAAUCUUAAAAAUAUCAUUUUUAGCCUUUUAAAUAAAUAUCAAAAUGCCCAUUACAAAAGGCUUCUUCAAUUCCAUGUAAGAAUUUAACUGUAAUAUGAACCAGGCUUAGAUGACGUCUAUAAAUUAGCCCAAGAAAAUUCCUGUAAUUCCUGGCUAUGAGGUUGUUUCUGAGGGGUGGUGGAUUUCUGGUCAUCCCAUAUUUCCUCAAUGCCUCCUACUUCAAGAGUAGAAAAUAUCGAUAGCGUCGCUGCUCAUGGGCAAAGGCCCAGUUGUCCUUCAGGAUGAUCUCAGUUCUGAUGAAUAUUUGGGUCUAUGAAAAGAAAAUUAUAGAAUAUUAAAA
rnacentral:lncRNA from 1 species